rnacentral:rRNA from 1 species
GGACUCCUACGGGAGGCAGCAGUGGGGAAUAUUGGACAAUGGGGGAACCCCUGAUCCAGCCAUGCCGCGUGUGUGAAGAAGGCCUUUUGGUUGUAAAGCACUUUCAGUGGUGAGGAAAGGUAGAAGCUUAAUACGUUUUUACUGUGACGUUAACCACAGAAGAAGCACCGGCUAACUUCGUGCCAGCAGCCGCGGUAAUACGAGGGGUGCAAGCGUUAAUCGGAAUAACUGGGCGUAAAGCGCACGCAGGCGGUUUGUUAAGCCAGAUGUGAAAGCCCGGGGCUCAACCUCGGAACUGCAUUUGGAACUGGCAAACUAGAGUCUUGUAGAGGGGGGUAGAAUUUCCAGUGUAGCGGUGAAAUGCGUAGAGAUUGGAAGGAAUACCAGUGGCGAAGGCGGCCCCCU